ensembl:lncRNA
GCAGGCAGCGCGAGCUUGUGAGGGAAGGGAUGAGCAUCAAGGACAAGAAAUCCUGGAGUAACUCAGGGGUCUGUGGUUGUCAUUUGGGAAGGACACAUUCAUGUUGCAAUCAAUCAAGCCAAUAUGCCAGAGUGAGCUUUGAAAGGCCAUGGCGUGAAAGUGCUUAUAAAGUGACAGUGGUCAAGAUUACCUUCAUCAGAUUCGCUCCAUGACACCACUUCGACAGAGUUUAAAGGCCAGAAGGAUUAUAUUAUUUGCUAGUUCCUUGGUCUGGAAAGGCUCAGCCAGUCUAUGCCAAACGUAUCCACUACCACCAGAGAGGUGAUUGUCAUGCAGGUGAAUGACACUGCAAAUAGAAGCAGAAAAAUAUGUCUGCAACAUGAAGCAGGAGGGUGAGUAGUGGCUAUUUCAUUCUCCUCUCCAGAGUCAUGCAACAGGUCUGCUGCCAUAUCAUACAGGGAGGAUGUAGCGUAUGUCUCGUUCAUCUGCUUGAGUCAUGUGGUUGGAAAUGAGGCAGCAGUAGCUGCUUUAAGAAAUACUUUUCCCUUUGUGGAAUUAGUUAUGUUCAUUUAGAAUAAAUAUUGAGACUGAAUCAGAGGGUAGGACAGAAUAUUUCACUGUCAUGAUGUCAGGUGGGAAUUUGAAGAAAGGCUACUUAUAUUGUGAAGGACAGGGAUCUUCAAGAAGAACAUGAAGAAGGAAGGACAGCAGACCUGUGAUAUCUUAGUCUGGGAAGUGUGUGAUGAUGACACAGACCUCCUGAGUUCUCUGAUCCAAAGCAAACAGCACAGACUAUGGACAUACGGGAAAAAAAGCAGAGUCUCAGGAGGAUGCAUUUCCGCGUGUUUGGUCUGGUUUUGUGAUUGUAGUUUUUUGGUGUUUUUUUUUUUUUGUUUGUUUUGGUUUGGUUUUUUGUUUGUUUGUUUGUUUGUUUUCCAUUUUUCUUCUUCAUAGAGGCUGAUGCUUCUUCCUUCUGUCCUCUUCAGGUAGAGUGGUGACAAACUGCAGCUCAGAAUAGGGGUGCAGUAAUGAUUCUCCUACACGCUACAGAUAAAGCUGAUCUUCUCAUCCCACACAUGUUGCCCCUUGGCAAAAUCAGGAAAGCACAUAUGUUUUUACCAUUUCACAGAAUGACAGUAUUGAGCACCUUCCCAAACUGCUCUGCAUGAUGCUUCUCUGGCAUUGGACCUUGGUGAGCCCAGCAGCACACAGGCUCAGAAUACCAAAGCCAUGGCCUCUUUGGGCCCUCUAAGAAAUGCUGUAGCCAGAAUCACCUCACCCACAUUCAGAAGCUUUCAUCAUGCUGAUGCUGUUUUCUAGAACAUGUGAUAGCUCAACUGGGGGCCUUCAAAUCUCCAGGCUUUGAGAAGCACUCUCCAAUGUUUACCCUGCCAGAAUUUGCUGAACUGGCUUGAAACAAACCUGAUCCAUUUCAUACAUUUAGGAAUAACUCUAAAGCAGAUUUGUGGAGAUGUUUUCUCAUUGCUCUUUUCCUGGUUUCUGUCUACUUUUUAAUCUGUCUUGCUCCUUACCAGUGCUUAUAGCUGAUAUGUUGUAGUCACCUUCUCCACAUCUACUGAAAGCUCAAAAUUCAUUGGAAAAAUAAGAGAAAUUAGUGACAGAAAAGUUUUUUUUUCUUUCCUUAAUAUUUAUUCUUACAAGGUCCAAAGCUGGUGUACAGUUAGAGAGAUCAGCCCAUCUAGGAAGAAGAGCAG